AGCUCCUCACUGUGCUCGCUUCUUCCAUGAUCCCUGGAAGAACAAGAACAAGAACCAGAAGAAAAGGAAGGCAAUGGAGCUCAAGCCUGGCAUCAUCACUAACCUACUCAUCCUCUUCUUCAUUCUGUCCCUGCCCAACUCACCCCAAGGACUAGUAGGAGGAUCACUUGAUUCAGCAAUUUUAGAACAAGAGAUUUAUGAGAUUGAUUACCGAGGCCCCGAGACGCAUUCAUCCGUUCCUCCCCCGAUUCGAUCAAGAUCAUGCGGUCGAGGUCAUAAUCGCGGCGGUCGUGGUUGCCCUUUGAUUCACCAUCAUGAUUCAAGAAGAGUUCAUGGUGUGAGAGGAGAUAAUACCAUAAAUGGUUGAGGAAGCCAUACAUAGAAG